GUCUACGGCCAUACCACGUUGAAAGCACCAGUUCUCGUCCGAUCAAUGAAGUUAAGCGACGUCGGGCUCGGUUAAUAAUUGGAUGGGUGACCGCCUUGGAACACCGAGUGCUGUAGACG
rnacentral:rRNA from 1 species